GACGAACGCUGGCGGCGUGCUUAACACAUGCAAGUCGAACGGAAAGGCCCUGCUUUUGUGGGGUGCUCGAGUGGCGAACGGGUGAGUAACACGUGAGUAACCUGCCCUUGACUUUGGGAUAACUUCAGGAAACUGGGGCUAAUACCGGAUAGGGGCUCCUGCUGCAUGGUGGGGGUUGGAAAGUUUCGGCGGUUGGGGAUGGACUCGCGGCUUAUCAGCUUGUUGGUGGGGUAGUGGCUUACCAAGGCUUUGACGGGUAGCCGGCCUGAGAGGGUGACCGGCCACAUUAGGACUGAGAUACGGCCCAGACUCCUACGGGAGGCAGCAGUGGGGAAUAUUGCACAAUGGGCGGAAGCCUGAUGCAGCAACGCCGCGUGCGGGAUGACGGCCUUCGGGUUGUAAACCGCUUUCGCCUGUGACGAAGCGUGAGUGACGGUAAUGGGUAAAGAAGCACCGGCUAACUACGUG
rnacentral:rRNA from 1 species